GAGUUUGAUCCUGGCUCAGGACGAACGCUGGCGGCGCGCUUAACACAUGCAAGUCGAACGGGGCCCUUCGGGGUUCAGUGGCGAACGGGUGCGUAACACGUGAGUGACCUGCCCUGGCGCGGGGGAUAACCCGGGAAACCCGGGCUAAUACCGCAUACGUUCUCCGGGCUGAUGGCCUGGGGAGGAAAGGUGCUUUACGGCACUGUGCUGGGAGGGGCUCGCGGCGUAUCAGGUAGUUGGUGGGGUAACGGCUCACCAAGCCGAUGACGCGUAGGGGUCUGAGAGGAUGGCCCCCCACAUUGGGACUGAGAUACGGCCCAGACUCCUACGGGAGGCAGCAGUGGGGAAUCUUGCGCAAUGGCCGAAAGGCUGACGCAGCGACGCCGCGUGCGGGAGGACGCUUUUCGGAGUGUAAACCGCUGUCGGGUGGGACGAAGGUCCCGGGCAGGAAAUGGCCUGGGGAUGACGGUACCACCAGAGGAAGCACCGGCUAACUUCGUGCCAGCCGCCGCGGUAAU
rnacentral:rRNA from 1 species